CCGCCACUUGAAUCAUGCAAACUUUAGCUCAUCGAUGAUCAUAACUUCAUUCGGAAAAAGAUAGAAAUAGAGUAUUUAUGGUCUUUGCGAAGGCAAGUAUCCAUCCAUUUGGGUUGGGUGCCCGGCAGUGAGCUUCUGACUUACCUUUUAAUUCCCUCUUCCGCAUGUCUCAAUUCUCUCUUCAUUUUAUUCUAUCAUAGAUGAUAGCUGGUUUUAUUUUAAGCUUAUGUAAAUAUGUCUAGGAAGUGAAGUUUUCUUUUUUAUUUGAAGAAGGGAAUAUGUAAACAUGUACUUUAAGCGUAUUGCAAUGAUAGCUACUUUUAUUUUAAGCUUAUGUAAAUAUGUCUAGGAAGUGAAGUUUUCUUUUUUAUUUGAAGAAGGGAAUCCGUAAACAUGUACUUUAAGGGGUCGUUUGGUUGGAAUAUGACUUAUACCGGUGUAAGUUAUGCCGGUAUAAGUUGUAUUGGGAUAAGUUAUGCUGGGAUUGUUGUUUAUUCAUUGUUUGGUAUGUUGUAUUAAGAAUANNNN
rnacentral:lncRNA from 1 species